rnacentral:misc_RNA from 1 species
AUUGAUUCAAAAUUCAUAUCAGAAUCGAAACUAGAACUGAAAUCAAACUAAAACUGUCUCAAAUCAUAUCGGACUAUAACCUAACCAAAAUCGUAAUAAUAAAUGUAAAAAAUGAGAAUCACUUCUAAUCAAAUAUGACCUGAAAAAAAAAAAAUCAGAACUAAUUCAAAUCGACUCAAUUCAGACCGAUCCCGUUGAAGCUCUCAAAAGCCAAAAAAACUGUCAAAUCCAGUCCUAGGCCAGGUCGAUUCCCUUGAAUUAUAAAAAAUGAAAGGAUUCAUGGCCCAAAAGGUCUGCCCAUUGCUCAA